rnacentral:rRNA from 1 species
AUUGAACGCUGGCGGCAUGCCUUACACAUGCAAGUCGAACGGUAACAGGUCUUCGGAUGCUGACGAGUGGCGAACGGGUGAGUAAUACAUCGGAACGUGCCUAGUAGUGGGGGAUAACUACUCGAAAGAGUGGCUAAUACCGCAUGAGAUCUACGGAUGAAAGCAGGGGAUCGCAAGACCUUGUGCUACUAGAGCGGCCGAUGGCAGCUUAGGUAGUUGGUGGGAUAAAAGCUUACCAAGCCGACGAUCUGUAGCUGGUCUGAGAGGACGAUCAGCCACACGGGGACUGAGACAGGGCCCAGACUCCUGCGGGAGGCAGCAGUGGGGAAUUUUGGGCAAUGGGCGCAAGCCGGAUCCAGCAAUGCGGCGUGCAGGAUGAAGGAGUUCGGGUUGUAGACUGCUUUUGUACGGAACGAAAAGCCCUGGAUUAAUACCCUGGGGUCAUGACGGUACCGUAAGAAUAAGCACCGGCUAACUACGUGCCAGCCGCCGCCGUAACAC